GCCUGUGUAAAGGUCUUCAUAAGGGUGUACAUUGUGUAGCCUGUGUAAAGGUCUUCAUAAGGGUGUACAUUGUGUAGCCUGUGUAAAGGUCUUCAUAAGGGUGUACAUUGUGUAGCCUGUGUAAAGGUCUUCAUAAGGGUGUACAUUGUGUAGCCUGUGUAAAGGUCUUCAUAAGGGUGUACAUUGUGUAGCCUGUGUAAAGGUCUUCAUAAGGGUGUACAUUGUGUAGCCUGUGUAAAGGUCUUCAUAAGGGUGUACAUUGUGUAGCCUGUGUAAAGGUCUUCAUAAGGGUGUACAUUGUGUAGCCUGUGUAAAGGUCUUCAUAAGGGUGUACAUUGUGUAGCCUGUGUAAAGGUCUUCAUAAGGGUGUACAUUGUGUAGCCUGUGUAAAGGUCUUCAUAAGGGUGUACAUUGUGUAGCCUGUGUAAAGGUCUUCAUAAGGGUGUACAUUGUGUAGCCUGUGUAAAGGUCUUCAUAAGGGUGUACAUUGUGUAGCCUGUGUAAAGGUCUUCAUAAGGGUGUACAUUGUGUAGCCUGUGUAAAGGUCUUCAUAAGGGUGUACAUUGUGUAGCCUGUGUAAAGGUCUUCAUAAGGGUGUACAUUGUGUAGCCUGUGUAAAGGUCUUCAUAAGGGUGUACAUUGUGUAGCCUGUGUAAAGGUCUUCAUAAGGGUGUACAUUGUGUAGCCUGUGUAAAGGUCUUCAUAAGGGUGUACAUUGUGUAGCCUGUGUAAAGGUCUUCAUAAGGGUGUACAUUGUGUAGCCUGUGUAAAGGUCUUCAUAAGGGUGUACAUUGUGUAGCCUGUGUAAAGGUCUUCAUAAGGGUGUACAUUGUGUAGCCUGUGUAAAGGUCUUCAUAAGGGUGUACAUUGUGUAGCCUGUGUAAAGGUCUUCAUAAGGGUGUACAUUGUGUAGCCUGUGUAAAGGUCUUCAUAAGGGUGUACAUUGUGUAGCCUGUGUAAAGGUCUUCAUAAGGGUGUACAUUGUGUAGCCUGUGUAAAGGUCUUCAUAAGG